rnacentral:lncRNA from 1 species
UUUUGGGCCCUUUAUAGCUUGUUGUUCGGUGUGAGCCAAGGCUCUGUGUUGAAGGCCGUACAUUGACCUAUAAUGGUUUACUUUUAUAAAUUGUUAUUUGGAUGGAGAGUUGUCUCAUUGGCACUCAUACCACAUCUUCCUAUAUCUAUAGACUACGGUAGGAUACUAACUUUUGAAAAGUGUCAAACAAUGACAAGUGUUUCAUUCGUCAGAAAAACUCCUGCGUUUCUGCGAAAAAAAUCUCGCCCAAUUUUGUGAAUGAAAGGGAUAGUAGAUCCUUACGCGUUGCAUUUGCUC